GACGAACGCUGGCGGCGUGCUUAACACAUGCAAGUCGUACGGUAAGGCCCUUUCGGGGGUACACGAGUGGCGAACGGGUGAGUAACACGUGAGUAACCUGCCCACAACUUUGGGAUAACGCUAGGAAACUGGUGCUAAUACUGGAUAUGUGCCCCUGCUGCAUGGUGGGGGUUGGAAAGCUCCGGCGGUUGUGGAUGGACUCGCGGCCUAUCAGCUUGUUGGUGGGGUAGUGGCCUACCAAGGCGGCGACGGGUAGCCGGCCUGAGAGGGUGACCGGCCACAUUGGGACUGAGAUACGGCCCAGACUCCUACGGGAGGCAGCAGUGGGGAAUAUUGCACGAUGGGCGCAAGCCUGAUGCAGCAACGCCGCGUGCGGGAUGACGGCCUUCGGGUUGUAAACCGCUUUCAGCAGGGACGAAGCUUUUUGUGACGGUACCUGCAGAAGAAGCACCGGCUAACUACGUG
rnacentral:rRNA from 1 species